rnacentral:sRNA from 1 species
CUGCUGCUGUUGCCCAUGCUGCUGCCCAGCCAAUUGUGCAGCGGCUGCGACUUGUUGCUGUUGCUGCUGUUGUUGCUGCUGCUGUUGUUGCUGCUGCUGCAUCUGCAGUCGCAGCAG